rnacentral:rRNA from 1 species
GACGUAGGGCGCGAGCGUUGUCCGGAUUUAUUGGGCGUAAAGAGCUCGUAGGCGGCUUGUCGCGUCGUCCGUGAAAACCUGGGGCUCAACCCCAGGCUUGCGGUCGAUACGGGCAGGCUCGAGUUCGGUAGGGGAGACUGGAAUUCCUGGUGUAGCGGUGAAAUGCGCAGAUAUCAGGAGGAACACCGGUGGCGAAGGCGGGUCUCUGGGCCGAUACUGACGCUGAGGAGCGAAAGCGUGGGGAGCGAAACAGG